rnacentral:rRNA from 1 species
UACGAAGGGGGCUAGCGUUGCUCGGAAUUACUGGGCGUAAAGGGAGCGUAGGCGGAUCGUUAAGUUAGAGGUGAAAGCCCAGGGCUCAACCCUGGAAUUGCCUUUGAUACUGGCGAUCUUGAGUAUGGGAGAGGUAAGCGGAACUCCGAGUGUAGAGGUGAAAUUCGUAGAUAUUCGCAAGAACACCAGUGGCGAAGGCGGCUCACUGGCCCGGUACUGACGCUGAGGCACGAAAGCGUGGGGAGCAAACAGG